AGAUCAGAAUGUUGGUCGUGCCUUGGUACGUACUGGCAUUAUUGGUUUCUCCCUUCUGACGAACCAUGAUGUCAUUAAUUUGAUGUCGUGGAGAAUCAGGACUGUUACUUUGAAAAAAUUAGAGUGUUUAAAGCAGGCAUUAGCUUGAAUACAUUAGCAUGGAAUAAUGAAAUAGGACGUUUGAUCCUAUUUUGUUGGUUUCUAGGAUUGACGUA
rnacentral:rRNA from 1 species